rnacentral:rRNA from 1 species
GACGAACGCUGGCGGCGUGCUUAACACAUGCAAGUCGAACGGAAAGGCCUGCUUUCCCUUGUGGAUUGCGGGUACUCGAGUGGCGAACGGGUGAGUAACACGUGAGUGAUCUGCCCUCAACUUGGGUAUAAGCCUGGGAAACUGGGUCUAAUUCCCGAUAGGACUGCAGGGUGGUGCCUGUGGUGGAAAACGAUUUUCUAGUGGUUGGGGAUGAGCUCGCGGCCUAUCAGCUUGUUGGUGGGGUAAUGGCCUACCAAGGCGGCGACGGGUAGCCGGCCUGAGGGGGUGGACGGCCACAUUGGGACUGAGAUACGGCCCAGACUCCUACGGGAGGCAGCAGUGGGGAAUAUUGCACAAUGGGCGGAAGCCUGAUGCAGCGACGCCGCGUGGGGGAUGACGGCCUUCGGGUUGUAAACUCCUUUCGACCGCGAGGAAGCCACCUGGUUGGAAGGGUGGUGACGGUAGUGGUAGAAGAAGCACCGGCUAACUACGUG